GAACGCUAGCGACAGGCUUAACACAUGCAAGUCGAGGGGAAGAACAGGUAGCAAUACCGGGUGGCGACCGGCGCACGGGUGAGUAACGCGUAUGCAACUUACCUAUCAGAGGGCGAUAACCCGGCGAAAGUCGGACUAAUACCGCAUGAUGCAGGGGCCCCGCAUGGGCAUAUUUGCUAAAGAUUCAUCGCGGAUAGAUAGGCCAUGGGUCCAUUAUGUACACAGGCGGGGUAACGGCCCACCAAACCGACGAUGGAUAGGGGUUCUGAGAGGAAGGUCCCCCACAUUGGUACUGAGACACGGACCAAACUCCUACGGGAGGCAGCAGUGAGGAAUAUUGGUCAAUGGCCGAGAGGCUGAACCAGCCAAGUCGCGUGAGGGAUGAAGGUUCUAUGGAUCGUAAACCUCUUUUAUAAGGGAAUAAAGUGCGGGACGUGUCCCGUUUUGUAUGUACCUUAUGAAUAAGGAUCGGCUAACUCCGUGCCAGCAGCCGCGGUAAUACGGAGGAUCCGAGCGUUAUCCGGAUUUAUUGGGUUUAAAGGGUGCGUAGGCGGCCUUUUAAGUCAGCGGUGAAAGUCUGUGGCUCAACCAUAGAAUUGCCGUUGAAACUGGGGGGCUUGAGUAUGUUUGAGGCAGGCGGAAUGCGUGGUGUAGCGGUGAAAUGCAUAGAUAUCACGCAGAACCCCGAUUGCGAAGGCAGCCUGCCAAGCCAUGACUGACGCUGAUGCACGAAAGCGUGGGGAUCAAACAGGAUUAGAUACCCUGGUAGUCCACGCAGUAUACGAUGAUCACUAGCUGUUUGCGAUACACUGUAAGCGGCACAGCCAAAGCGUUAAGUGAUCCACCUGGGGAGUACGCCGGCAACGGUGAAACUCCAAAGGAAUUGACGGGGGCCCGCACAAGCGGAGGAACAUGUGGUUUAAUUCGAUGAUACGCGAGGAACCUUACCCGGGUUUGAACGCAUUCGGUCCGAGGUGGAAACACCUUUUCUAGCAAUAGCCGUUUGCGAGGUGCUGCAUGGUUGUCGUCAGCUCGUGCCGUGAGGUGUCGGCUUAAGUGCCAUAACGAGCGCAACCCUUGCCACUAGUUACUAACAGGGAAAGCUGAGGACUCUGGUGGGACUGCCAGCGUAAGCU
rnacentral:rRNA from 1 species